rnacentral:rRNA from 1 species
AACGAACGCUGGCGGCGCGCCUAAUACAUGCAAGUCGAGCGAGAAGACGUAGCAAUACGUUUGUAAAGCGGCGAACGGGUGAGGAAUACAUGGGUAACCUACCCUCGAGUGGGGAAUAACUAGCCGAGAGGUUAGCUAAUACCGCGUACGCUCCUUGGACUUCGGUUCAGGGAGGAAAGCGAUACCGUGGGUAUCGCGCUCUUGGAUGGGCUCAUGUCCUAUCAGCUUGGGUGAGGUAACGGCUCACCAAGGCUUCGACGGGUAGCUGGUCUGAGAGGACGAUCAGCCACACUGGCACUGCGACACGGGCCAGACUCC